GUGGUAUUAGAGGGUAGGUAGAUAUAGUACGUAUACUUGGGCUACCGAGGUUGUGUUCCUUUUCAUUCCCCCUCCGCCCUUUGUACCCUCUCCCGGACCGACUUUUUUCUUAAAUUACUUUUAGUGUUUGAAUUAUCUAUUGAUUCGGUAUGCAGUUAAAGACAAAGCAAUACAGGGAUAGCAAACAUUUGUUAAUAACAGUUGAAUAUUUUUUCUAAAUUCAAACUAACGGCACAUAGAUAUCAAAGAGUCACCAAUGGAAGUAUAUUUGGCAUAUUUUUUCUAAUUUUCUCAACACAAAGCUUUAAUUUAGAGAUGGCAUUACCGGUUUUACGGAGCCUGUUUUGAAUCACACACAGUUUUUCACUAUUCUAACGGACGGACUAAACACGGCUGUGACCAAAGAAAAAUAACUUUCUAAACAUCAAAGUCGGUGGCCAGUCAGCCGACACCACGGCAAGUCGGCGACGUACGUUAUCGAGAUCGUAUGUAUGUAUUGAACUGGGAGGCCGACAUCAUAAUACCGAAGGCGGCCAUUGGUCACUGGGCAUAAUCGGGUGUGUGUACGAAAAUACGACUGGAGAGACACUCUCGUUUAUUCUCGAAACCAGUCUGAAAUUUCAAA